rnacentral:rRNA from 1 species
GACGAACGCUGGCGGCGUGCUUAACACAUGCAAGUCGAACGGCAACGCCCUGCUUUUGUGGGGUGCUCGAGUGGCGAACGGGUGAGUAACACGUGAGUAACCUGCCCUUGACUUUGGGAUAACUUCAGGAAACUGGGGCUAAUACCGGAUAGGAUCUCCUGCUGCAUGGUGAGGGUUGGAAAUUCUAGGCGGUUGGGGCUGGAUUGGCGGGUAAUCAGCUUGUUGGUUGGGUAGUUGUAUACCAAGCGAGUGACCGAUCGCCGGCAGGGGAGGGGGGACAGGGACCAUGCGACUGCGAUACGGCGCAGAGUCGUACGGGGGGCAGCAGUGGGGAGUAUUGCCCAGUGGGAGGACGUCUGAUGCAGCAACGCCGCGUGCGGGAUGACGGCUUUUUGGGUGUGAACCGCUUUAGCCUGUGACGAAGCGGGAGUGACGGUACUGGGUAAAGAAGCACCGGCUAACUACGUG